UAAACUUAAUUAUUUCUGUGACUUGAGAACGUCGUCUCCCUCUUUCUUUCCAUUUCCUUAGCGGCCGCCCGAGGCGUCGCGGGGCGAUGCCGGUCGGCCCUUAGCAUCGCCAACUUUAACAUCUUCCAUCUUUGGAAAUUUAAUACUUUAUUCGGCAAUUAUUUAAAUGAGCUCCAACUCAUUCCUUGAAUAAAUUCCAACAUAUUCAAUUCCAAGCUCUACAAAAUAAAUCUCGGCCCAACGAUUAAAACCUUGACCCAUACUAAUUAAUUUCUUGGCUCACAUUCCAACAUAUGAUUAGUGUAGUCCAUAAGGUAAUCGGCAAAUUUUUUCCUUAACAACUCCUUUGAGUCCACCUUAUUCCAUUUUUAAAAUACUAAGGUCCAACAACUUAAAAUGGCCCCAAACUAAAAUAAUUCCUUGGCCCAAAUUCUUCAUUAUUUAGUGUGGCCCAACUAAAAUGAAUAAGGACCCAAUAUACUCCUUCCCCCAUACGUGACUUUCCCCCAUUUCACUUCCUUCUCCAAUUCCAAUCCCUAAUUGAAGAAGCGAGCAUUGUCUCCUCUCCCUCAUUCUCACGCUUCCUCUCGCUCGUCUCUCUCUCUUCUCUUCUCUCUUCACCGUCGCGCCGCCAUCCUCACCGUCUUUCUCCCGUUCCGCCGCCACCGCUGUGCAUGUGCAGCCGUCCCGGAAGUCCGCUGGUCUGCACGCUCCGUCCCUCUCUCUCCCAGUCGGCCUCUCUCUCUCGGUCGGUCUCUCUCUCUCCCUCGAUUCGCCGCACCGCCACCGCCGCUGCGGAUCCACCGCCGUCGCCGAGAACCGCUGCUGUAGCCGCUGUUGUCCCAGCCUGCCGGUCAGCCUCCGAUUGACUCCGAGUCCACCCCGAACCGACACCGCGCAGCCCCGAACAACUCCGAACAGCCCCGAAACGUCCCGGAACUUACCCGUUCAGCCCCGAAAGAUAAGUUCCCUUUACCAAGUUCUUUCGCAUUUCGAUUUAAUCGUGGGAGUGUUCAAUUGUGUUAAUUGCUUGAGUUAUGCGAUUAGUUCGGAUGAUGGUAUGUUUAUGCAUAAACUGAUGAUUAAAACUCGAAAUUUGGAGGGAGUAUACCUUCAAUUGACAGAUCGUGAAAACGAAGCAACUUGAUGAAUCCCUCUGUAUCUAUUUCAAUUGCCAGUUCCUCCUCAACUGUGAAUUCAAGAAUUGGUAUCAUGGAAUUAAAAUAUGGAGAUUGUUGGUAGAAUUAGGAAACUGAUUUGUGAAGGGCAGAUUAUAAAGGGAAGGUAGUUGAUAGAUUUGGGGAAGAUUCAUGGAGUGGUGGUGAAAAAGAUUGUAUAUCUACAUAUAUGUAUAAAAGAUGGCUGUGAAAGUGGCGUGGGUAGCAAGUUGUGCAGCAAGUUGCUAACAUUCUUAUCCCAUCUUUCUUCUUCUUUUUAUUUUAUUUUAUUUUAUUUAAUUAUUUAAGUAUUAUAUUUAUUUACUUAUUUGUUUAAUUUGGUGUAGGAAAAACCCAGUUUAAGCUCGUGGCUUUGGUGUAGGAAAACAAAUAACAUCCAUAGUCUUCCCUGACGAUGUACCAGACUUUCUUGGAGUACGAGCACGACCGUUGAACGGGCUGCGUGAACUUUUCCCUAAUUGUAAUAGAUAAGGAUUUGAUAAAUUUGUAUAAUAGUAAUUUAGCGGACUUCGGAGAUAUGUCGGACAUUAUAAAUUCUUAUUUGGUGUUACUUUUUUUUUACUUGAAA